rnacentral:rRNA from 1 species
UCCUACGGGAGGCAGCAGUGGGGAAUCUUAGACAAUGGGCGCAAGCCUGAUCUAGCCAUGCCGCGUGUGUGAUGAAGGUCUUAGGAUCGUAAAGCWCUUUCGCCAGGGAUGAUAAUGACAGUACCUGGUAAAGAAACCCCGGCUAACUCCGUGCCAGCAGCCGCGGUAAUACGGAGGGGGUUAGCGUUGUUCGGAAUUACUGGGCGUAAAGCGUACGUAGGCGGAUCAGAAAGUAGGGGGUGAAAUCCCAGGGCUCAACCCUGGAACUGCCUCCUAAACUCCUGGUCUUGAGUUCGAGAGAGGUGAGUGGAAUUCCAAGUGUAGAGGUGAAAUUCGUAGAUAUUUGGAGGAACACCAGUGGCGAAGGCGGCUCACUGGCUCGAUACUGACGCUGAGGUACGAAAGUGUGGGGAGCAAACAGGAUUAGAUACCCUGGUAGUCCACACCGUAAACGAUGAAUGCCAGUCGUCGGGCAGUAUACUGUUCGGUGACACACCUAACGGAUUAAGCAUUCCGCCUGGGGAGUACGGUCGCAAGAUUAAAACUCAAAGGAAUUGACGG